GAUGAACGCUGGCGGCGUGCCUAAUACAUGCAAGUCGAGCGAACAGACGAGGAGCUUGCUCCUCUGACGUUAGCGGCGGACGGGUGAGUAACACGUGGAUAACCUACCUAUAAGACUGGGAUAACUUCGGGAAACCGGAGCUAAUACCGGAUAAUAUAUUGAACCGCAUGGUUCAAUAGUGAAAGACGGUUUUGCUGUCACUUAUAGAUGGAUCCGCGCCGCAUUAGCUAGUUGGUAAGGUAACGGCUUACCAAGGCAACGAUGCGUAGCCGACCUGAGAGGGUGAUCGGCCACACUGGAACUGAGACACGGUCCAGACUCCUACGGGAGGCAGCAGUAGGGAAUCUUCCGCAAUGGGCGAAAGCCUGACGGAGCAACGCCGCGUGAGUGAUGAAGGUCGUCGGAUCGUAAAACUCUGUUAUUAGGGAAGAACAAAUGUGUAAGUAACUAUGCACGUCGUGACGGUACCUAAUCAGAAAGCCACGGCUAACUACG
rnacentral:rRNA from 1 species